GCAUCGAUAGCUCAGUGGCAGAGUGGUGGGGUGUUAACAAAUGCGGCCCGGGUCCGAGCCUCGGUCGAUGUA